AUUGAACGCUGGCGGCAGGCCUAACACAUGCAAGUCGAGCGGAGCGGCGGACGGGCGAGUAAGGCCUAGGAAUCUGCCUGGCAGUGGGGGAUAAAGACCGGAAAGGGGCGCUAAUACCGCAUACUCGCUGACGGGCCUAGGUCGGAUUGGCUAGUUGGUGGGGUAAAGGCUUACCAAGGCGACGAUCCCUCACUGGUCUGAGAGGAUGAUCAGUCACACGGGGACUGAGACACGGUCCAGACUCCUACGGGAGGCAGCAGUGGGGAAUAUUGGACAAUGGGCGAAAGCCUGAUCCAGCCAUGCCGCGUGUAUGAAGAAGGUCUUCGGAUUGUAAAGCACUUUAAGUUGGGAGGCGUUACCAACAGAAUAAGCACCGGCUAACUUCGUGCCAGCAGCCGCGGUAAUUC
rnacentral:rRNA from 1 species